rnacentral:lncRNA from 1 species
AGUGACGCCGAGGCGAGGUCGCGGCUAAGCAGAGGCGCCGGGGUUUCUGGGCCGGGCUUCUCAGGACCGGGCUGGAACGUGCAGCUCCUGGCCGGGACACUCUGUGCUUUGCGGGGAAGGGAAGUGGCGGAGCCCGAGGAUCCGCUGCCGCUCGGGACUGAGCCCGCCACGCAGGCGCCUGUGCCAGCGUCGCCAUUGUUGCCUGUGGCCUUAGGGCCGCUCCGGCUGCCCGUCGGCCGGGUCCCAGCGACAGGUGGAAGUCAGACAAGGCUCAGAGUGGACCCUACAAUGUUGAGAAGGAAAUCCUUACUUCAAGAUUCUUGCGUGACACUGAGACCUGUCGACAGAAUUUUAGGAAUUUUCCAUACCCAGACCUGGCUGGUCCUCGAAAGGCAUUGAGUCAACUCCGAGAGCUCUGCCUUAAGUGGCUGAGACCUGAGAUUCACUCAAAGGAACAAAUUUUGGAGCUGCUGGUGCUGGAGCAAUUCCUGACCAUCCUGCCUGGUGAGGUUAGGACUUGGGUAAAGUCCCAGUAUCCAGAGAGCAGCGAGGAAGCAGUGACUCUGG